rnacentral:rRNA from 1 species
UUGCACUAGAGUUUGAUCCUGGCUCAGGAUGAACGCUAGCGGCAGGCUUAAUACAUGCAAGUCGAGGGGCAGCAUGGUGUAGCAAUACACUGAUGGCGACCGGCAAACGGGUGCGGAACACGUACGCAACUUACCCAAAACUGGGGAAUAGCCCGGGGAAACCCGGAUUAAUACCUCGUAACAUAAUGAAGUGGCAUCACUUUAUUAUUAUAGCUCCGGCGGUUUUGGAUGGGCGUGCACCUGAUUAGAUAGUUGGCGGGGUAACAGCCCACCAAGUCUGCGAUCAGUAACUGGUGUGAGAGCACGACCAGUCACACGGGCACUGAGACACGGGUCCGACUCCUACGGGAGGCAGCAGUAAAGAAUAUUGGUCAAUGGACGCAAGUCUGAACCANCCAUGCCGCGUGGAGGAUUAAGGCCGUCUGGGUUGNAAACUGAUUUUGUCGUGGGAAGAGAUGUAAUUUUUCUUGAGUACUUGACGCGAACAAAGGAAUAAACAACGCGCUGAAUCCGCGCAACACAGGCCGAAGACUGACGGUGCUACAAAACUACGGACUAAUGGGUCUCAAAGGCGCGACGACAGAAGCGCACCUACGGCGAAAUCCCCAGUAUUAACCCCACCACUACGGAUUACGGUAUUAGGACAAAUACCAUUAAAACCACCGCACACCCCUAGACCCCAGAGUUACGCUCACUCUGUGAAUACAACCUCAUCCUCGAGGUUUCGCUUCUGAAUGACAGUGUAUGUUGCCACGUAGCUCCCGAUUUUACCUGUGGGUUGGAUAGAAUAGAUAAUAAUACA